GGAAGGGUAGCCCAGCAAUGAAAAGCUUGGGCUCUGGAACCAGACUGCCUGGGUUCAAAUCUCAGCUCUGCCA
rfam:Gorilla gorilla gorilla genomic chromosome, chr4, whole genome shotgun sequence